rnacentral:rRNA from 1 species
UACGGGGGGGGGCAAGCGUUUGUUCGGAAUUACUGGGCGUAAAGGGCGCGUAGGCGGCGCAACAAGUCACUUGUGAAAUCUCCGGGCUUAACCCGGAGCGGUCAAGUGAUACUGUCGUGCUAGAGUGCGGAAGGGGCUACUGGAAUUCUCGGUGUAGCGGUGAAAUGCGUAGAUAUCAGGAAGAACACCAACGGCGAAGGCAGCUCGCUGGGACGGUACUGACGCU